UUUAUCAGGAAGAAAAGCCAGAUGGUUAACCAUUUGUUUGCCGGUACUUGAUGAAUAAGCCCCGGCUAAUUAUGUGCCAGCAGCCGCGGUAAACAUAAGGGGCAAGUGUUAUCCGGAAUUAUUGGGCGUAAAGGGUGCGUAGGCGGUCUAGUAAGUCAGUGGUGUAAUGGCAACGCUUAACGUUGUCCGGCUAUUGAAACUGCUAAACUUGAGUUAGAUAGAGGCGAGUGGAAUUCCAUGUGUAGCGGUAAAAUGCGUAAAUAUAUGGAGGAACACCAGAGGCGUAGGCGGCUCGCUGGGUCUUAACUGACGCUGAGGCACGAAAGCCGUGGGGAGCAAACAGGAUUAGAUACCCUGGUAGUCCACGCCCGUAAACGAUGAGUACUAAGUUGUCGGGUUAAACCGGUUACUGAAGUUUAACACAUUAAAGUACUCCCGCCUGAGUAGUACGUACGCAAGUUAUGAAAACUUUAAAAGGAAUUGACGGGGACUCCGCCACAAGCGGUGGAUCAUGUUUGUUUAAUUCGAAGAUCCCGAAAAACCUUACCAGGUCUUGACAUGUUUUUGCAAAAUGAUAGUAUAUCGUGGAGGUUACCAAAACACAGGUGGUGCAUGGUUGUCUCACUCUGUUGAAGAUGUUAGGUUAAAUCUCCUAAAACAGAAACAAAACCCUUUAUCUGUUAGUUUGCCACACAAUUUAAUGGUGGGGCACUUUUACAAAAACUGCAAUGAUAAAUUGGAGAAGUAAGCUCCCCUCAAUAAACUUCCUUUUUCACGUGCUCAAU
rnacentral:rRNA from 1 species